CAUAACUGAUAUUGCUUAACAUUCGCGCUCGCGUGAUGAUGCCCACGUGCGUGCAAAGUACAGCCAGCAAAUGAAAGAGGCAAACAUUGAUGGUGGACUCCACCUGUGCACAGAACUUGCAGCUGUGUAAUGAACAUACGUCUCAUUAAGUACCCCCCCUUGGAGCAUUGAUGAAGGACCAGGCAAGAUGACAGUCACAUUGUGGAAUCCAAAGGGCCUGCAUCUUAUAUCCUCCAGAAUGGGAAAAAGACAGAAAAAAGGUAAAAACCAUCACUUUGCGUACACUGAACUUAACCCUAACUCUGCCAGAUGCACUGGCCAUUUUGAGAAAGUGGGAGCUAGUCCCAUUGAACAGUGCCACUGUUGGAUCUUGUGGUGACUGGCAACCACAUACU